rnacentral:rRNA from 1 species
UACGGAGGGUGCAAGCGUUAUCCGGAUUUACUGGGUUUAAAGGGUGCGUAGGUGGGUUGGUAAGUCAGUGGUGAAAUACUUUCGCUUAACGAAGGAACUGCCAUUGAUACUAUCAAUCUUGAAUACAGUGGAGGCAGGCGGAAUGCGUCAUGUAGCGGUGAAAUGCUUAGAUAUGACGCAGAACACCAAUUGCGAAGGCAGCUUGCUACACUGUUAUUGACACUGAGGCACGAAAGCGUGGGGAUCAAACAGG